ACUUUGGGCAUAACAGGAAAGGAAGCUGCCAUCUUCUUUUGAGACCUAAGAGAUCAAAAUACAUGUACUCAUCAAGAAACAAAAUUCAGACAGGUCCAGUUUAAAUCUUCCAUGCUGAAACACACACACCCUGCUUCCAACGGGACCUUUCACACCUCCCAGCUAUUACUUGGCAGUGUGUUUCUCUAUUUGGACUGUCUUUGCUGGAAGAUGUAUCAGCACAGUCAAGUUUUUUCCUGUGAAAAUCCGUGGGCCGAACUUCUCAGCCUCAGCGCCUGAACACAUUCUCCUCUCACCUCAUGUUGCUAUUCCAGGGACUAAUGGUGAGUCAGCGGCAGCAGAGCUGACUGUUCCCAUGGGGAAGACGCAGAAUGGGCCCACACGGGCCCAUUAAUCCAU